UAAUCCCACCCAGAAAUGACAAACAAGCUCCCUGAUUGGCCAGUUGCCGGCCAGUUGGACUUGAGCGGUCGCCAUGGUGGUAUCGGGGACUCGGCCGGCCUCGUUGGAUGUUGAAUUAUGUGUUUCGUUGCGCUAGAUAUUGCCAAUUUGCUUUGAUAUUUGAUAAAUGACGUUGGCUUUUUCUUUUUGUGACAUUGCAUACUAAUACGACGAUAUUUUGGUGCCGAUUUAAACAUCUUGAGACAAAUGUGGCGAUUUCCACGCCCUUUUGCAGUGCCCCCCUCACUUUGUGUAGUGAGUUAACAGGCUUGUAAGAACCAAGUGAACCAUUUUUUAGUCAAUUGGUCAUGAUUGUCCCUACAUCUAAUGGGUAAUAGUCUUGUGCAAACUUAUUAGGUACUGGAGGAAGCAGAAUAGUUACGAUUUUGGAGUACGCAAACUUGAUAUUAAAAAAUCUCAGGUAUUUUGGCUAUAGAAAGUGAGAAGAAAAGUUCAAUUUAUCAUUUUUUAUUGCAAUUGCAAUAACGAUAAUAUCAUGCUAAUUGUACUGUCAGGUAUUGAUGAUAGUCAUGUCACGUCAUGCCACUAACCACACAGUCACAACACAUUUUCAUCUUUAUGUAUUUAGGCAUAAGGUAUUACAGGCAUGUUUUUGCACACCUCUCAUGUGCAAGUGGGCAUGGCCUCCUUCACAGUCAAAUUUUGGCUGAUUGUGCUCAAAUUUUUAAGCACCUACAUGUAACUAGGGAUGCAGAUACAGUUAGUCGGGCACUCUACUUAAUUCAGUUUUGUGCACGACUUCCUGCUUUCACCGUGCUGUGCCCACUCCGCUUUACAGUGGACAGCUGCUUGUGUGACACGCAUUGAUCUUGCAUUCAUUGAAACACUUAGUUUUGAGUGUUUUGACUCAGUUUUGUUGUAACGUUACCUUUGUUUAUGUUUUCAAUAACUUGUUUUGGGCUUCUCAUAUUAAUCAUUUUUUUUUGACGUAGCAGGUUUAGUGUAAAACAAGUUUAAGCUGAAAUAUUUACAUGUUCAGAUUACAUGAAUGCAUACAUUUUAUAAAAGCUAUUUCAAAGUACUGUAGCCAUGUGUAACAUGCAUAUGUCUUAGUCAAUGACUACUCAGCAUGCUGUUUGGUGUUCAAUGGUAACAGUUUGAUUUGUUUUUGACAUCAAAUAAGAUUUGAUUUGUGUUUCUGAGAUUCCUAUGUUAUUUGUGGCAAAUAUUUUCCAAAAAUCCUCCAUCUAAAUCUUCAACUGAAUUCUAAAAUGCCUGCAUUUUCUACCAGAAACAUUAUCAUUGAUACCUCCUACAAUAUUUCAUUUUUGUCACUAGGUACCUGGACUGGUGAAAAGUGAAAACUGAAAUUCAUUCAUGUCACCAUUAUCCCAAGACCUCCCCCUAAAUGGAAUUGAUCUUGUUUCACAAAUGAGUUGUACAAUGUCUUUCAGCUGAUGUCUAUUGUCUAUCUCUUUUUCAGCACAGAAGAUCCUCAGUCAUAGUUAACAAAAUGGAAAAAAAUUAGCUGUGUUUUUAAUAUUCCAGUCGUGGCCAUCAAUUGCUCAGGAAAGCAGCCCAGAAUCACUUCACAACAGGUUUCCAAAGGAUCAUCAUUCAUCAGCACAGAAGGGGGGAAAGAGAAGGCUGUUCAAAUUCUGAAAAGCCAGAGCUGCAAAGGAGGUCAAAGAUGCAGUGUAGUUGGCCCACUCAGUAGAGUUUCACUAGUGGUUCUGAUGUGGACUGGGGAUUACACGCUGGAUAGAAGUGGCCGGUCUGGAGCAGCUGUAAUUCAUCAUUCGUGCUGACUGCGGACGAGUAAGAGCCCGCGUUGGCCCCGAUCGGCGAUCGCUGGCCAAAGCCCACCACCAGGUUGGUGAUAGGCGUUGGUUGUGAUAUGUAGUGUCGCCUAUGUGUGAAAAGGACAAGUUGAUAACAAAACCUGUUGCGCCAUGUUAUUAACCCGCGCCCGGGUGGCCCUCAGCCAACUUGGUGGUGGUGGUGGUGGUGGUGGGGGGGGGGGGGGAAGGAGGGGAGGCGUAUUCGGCCACACCAGGUUAUCUUGGAAUGUAACAAAGCUGGAAAGACGCAGUAAAAUCAAUAUAUAGCUCGCUAUUUUUUUCAGAA